rnacentral:rRNA from 1 species
UACGUAGGGCGCAAGCGUUGUCCGGAAUUAUUGGGCGUAAAGAGCUCGUAGGCGGCUUGUCACGUCGGGUGUGAAAGCCCGGGGCUUAACCCCGGGUCUGCAUUCGAUACGGGCUGGCUAGAGUGUGGUAGGGGAGAUCGGAAUUCCUGGUGUAGCGGUGAAAUGCGCAGAUAUCAAGAGGAACACCGGUGGCGAAGGCGGGUCUCUGGGCCGAUACUGACGCUGAGGAGCGAAAGCGUGGGGAGCGAACAGG